AAUUCCAGCUCCAGUAGUGUAUAUCACUGAUGUUGCGGUUAAAACGCUCGUAGUUGGAUUACAAAAGCUCGAUGGAGCUUAAGCCCAAGUGGUUUGAGUUUUGUGGGGUUUUUUUAUCGCGAGAGCCGUGUGUGGGAUUAAUUUUUUGUACACGGUCACUUGCGGAGUGUGCCUUGAAUAAAGCACAGUGCUCAAAGCAGGCGUACGCUCGAAUGUUAUAGCAUGGAACGAAUAUAUUGACCAAGUCGAUUGUUGGUUGUUGACGGGGUCUCGAUUAAAAGGAACAUUUGAGGGCGUUGGUACUUGGUGGCGAGAGGUGAAAUUCUUAGACCCACCAAAGACUCACAAAUGCGAAAGCAUUCGCCAAGAGUGUUUUCAUUAAUCAAGAACGAAAGUCAGAGGUUCGAAGACGAUCAGAUACCGUCGUAGUUCUGACAGUAAACGAUGCCAACCUGGGGUUAGUCCAGUGCUAUCUAGAUUGGUCCCUCGGCAAAAGCUAGUUUUUCGGCUCCGGGGAGAGUAUUCACGCAAGUGAAAAAUUUAAAGAAAUUGACGGAAUGGCACCACCAGGAGUGGAGCCUGCGGCUUAAUUUGACUCAACACGGGGAAACUCACCAGGUCCAGACAUUGACAGGAUUGACAGACUAAGAGAUCUUUCAUGAUACGAUGAUUGGUGGUGCAUGGCCGUUCUUAGUUGGUGGAGUGAUCUGUCAGGUUUAUUCCGGUAACGAACGAGACCACGAUCUCUAAUUGAAACGGUCAUUUUGUUUUGGCCAAUCUUAGAGAGACAACCGGGAUCAACCCGGGGGAAGCGUGGCAAUAACAGGUCUGUGAUGCCCUUCGAUGUUCUGGGCUGCACGCGCGCUACAAUGGCAGUGACAACGAGUGCCUGCUCUGAGAGGAGUGGGAAAUCUUGAAAAUCGCUGUCGUGAUUGGGAUUGAGCCUUGUAAUAAUUGCUCAUGAAAGAGGAAUUCCUCGUAAGCGCGAGUCAUCAGCUCGUG
rnacentral:rRNA from 1 species